GAUGAACGCUGGCGGCGUGCCUAAUACAUGCAAGUCGAGCGAACAGAUGAGGAGCUUGCUCCUUUGACGUUAGCGGCGGACGGGUGAGUAACACGUGGGUAACCUACCUAUAAGACUGGGAUAACUUCGGGAAACCGGAGCUAAUACCGGAUAAUAUUUUGAACCGCAUGGUUCAAUAGUGAAAGACGGUUUUGCUAUCACUUAUAGAUGGAUCCGCGCCGUAUUAGCUAGUUGGUAAGGUAACGGCUUACCAAGGCAACGAUGCGUAGCCGACCUGAGAGGGGUAACCGCCACACCUGAACCGGAGAACCGGCCAAAACCCCUACGGAAGGAAGCGGAAGGAAUCUUCCGCAAUGGGCGAAAGCCUGACGGAGCAACGCCGCGUGAGUGAUGAAGGGUUUCGGCUCGUAAAACUCUGUUAUUAGGGAAGAACAAACGUGUAAGUAACUGUGCACGUCUUGACGGUACCUAAUCAGAAAGCCACGGCUAACUACGUG
rnacentral:rRNA from 1 species